AGAACGAACGCUGGCGGCAUGCCUAAUACAUGCAAGUCGAACGAGACCUUCGGGUCUAGUGGCGCACGGGUGCGUAACGCGUGGGAAUCUCCCUUAAAGGGUUCGGAAUAACAGUUGGAAACGACUGCUAAUACCGGAUGAUGACGAAAGUCCAAAGAUUUAUCGCCCAGGGAUGAGCCCGCGUAGGAUUAGCUAGUUGGUGAGGUAAAGGCUCACCAAGGCUACGAUCCUUAGCUGGUCUGAGAGGAUGAUCAGCCACACUGGGACUGAGACACGGCCCAGACUCCUACGGGAGGCAGCAGUAGGGAAUAUGGACAAUGGGGGCAACCCUGAUCCAGCAAUCG
rnacentral:rRNA from 1 species